rnacentral:rRNA from 1 species
AUACGGAGGGUGCAAGCGUUAAUCGGAAUUACUGGGCGUAAAGCGUACGUAGGCGGUUAUUUAGGUCAGAUGUGAAAGCCCCGGGCUUAACUUGGGAACUGCAUUUGAAACUGGGUAACUAGAGUUUAGUAGAGGGGAGUGGAAUUUCAGGUGUAGCGGUGAAAUGCGUAGAGAUCUGAAGGAACACCAGUGGCGAAGGCGACUCCCUGGACUAAAACUGACGCUGAGGUACGAAAGCGUGGGUAGCAAACAGGAUUAGAAACCCUAGUAGUCC